ensembl:lncRNA
GGUCUGUGUAAAAGCACCUCAAGAUAUCUGAGGGCAUUAUUAAGAACCUAACUGAUAUUUCAUGGGAAUUGUAUUAGUUGUCAUCUUUCUGGGUGUGCGGUUUUAUAUUUCGUUGAAUUCUGUUAUGCUCACAACCCUGUUAUGAAGACUUUAAUGCAUUGAUGACGAGUGUAACUAACCCAUUUUCUUCCCUCUCAGGCUCGUCUUUCUUUCGUAUUUGUGAGCAGGAGGAGGCAGGGGGCUGUUGGAGUUUGCUGAGAGUAGCUUUAACUUUUGCCAGAGGCUUUAGCAGCCAUAAAAACGGGCCCGGGUUAAAGCAGCGGCUGGCUAAUCUCUUCAUAUCUGAACCCAGAACCAAACACAUACCUACUCGUGUUGCAGAAAUCCAUUAAAACAGAGAGCAGGAUAAUGCAAAGUUUGCCACUGAACAGUGGGAAAGAGAUUCGAUGAUGGCUGCCUGUUUUACUGAGUCUGUGGGGAAUUUACAGAUGGUGGAUCUGUAUCAUUAAUUCACUGUGCCUGGAACUCAGCUGAACUGAUUCAUUGUCUCUGUGGCACAAGUGAGUUUAUUCAUAGUUUUAAAAUGUCUUUAGUCAGAAUAUGGCUGUCCACUGAAAUCUGUAUUAAUACAUCAGAUUGCUACGUAGCUGUCACACCCCAUUGGACUUUUGUUGUGUUUUCAUCCCUAAUGUGUUCAUUGACCCAGUUUAUGUCUCUUUUUCAGUACUUACUUCCUUAUUCGGUCAUGUUCCUGUUCUCGGCUAGUCAUCAUUAGUUAACCUCCAUUCACCUGUGUCUAGUUUAUCACCCUCAUUAUCCUGUAUAUAUUAUUUGGCCUCUUGUUGUUCUUCUUGGUCUGGUAUUGUUGAUGUUACCCUGUGUGUUAGACCCUCUUUUUCGUGUGGGGGUUACCAUUAAAAGGAUUUGUGAUAAUCUUUGUCGUGCCUUCGUCUCCCUAACAACAGUCAUGUGACAGUAACACAUCCAAGUAUUUUUUUUUAUGUCUUUUUGAUUCAUGGUACAAAAGAGACACUUGUCCUUUUUCACUGUCGAUCAGGCCAUGGCAGCUUGGAUACCAUCAAAAUCACAGCUCUUGUCAGAAAUAAUUUGCUAAACAUGUCUGUGUCUUAACACCUUCUGAAAACCUACUACAAUAUUUUUUUGUGUGUGUGUGUGUGUGGUGGAGGAGACUCUGAAAGGCUAACACUGUAAGAAAUUAGGUGAAUAUCCACUUUCAGCCAAUUUACUUGGUUAAUUUGAUAAACAUUAUUGUUUAAAAACAUUAGGGUCAGGAAGAGUUUUUUUUUUUAAGUAUUUAUUCACAAGAAGUUACUAUUUUAUGUAGCAAGGAUACAUUCAAUUGAUCAAAAGUGAUACAUUUACACAUUACUACUACUAAGAAUAAAUGUUUCUUGAACAUCA